UACGUAGGGUGCAAGCGUUGUCCGGAAUUAUUGGGCGUAAAGAGCUCGUAGGCGGUUUGUCGCGUCUGCUGUGAAAUCUGGGGGCUCAACCUGCAGCCUGCAGUGGGGACGGGCGGACUAGAGUGCGGUAGGGGGGAUUGGAAUUCCUGGUGUAGCGGUGGAAUGCGCAGAUAUCAGGAGGAACACCGAUGGCGAAGGCAGAUCUCUGGGCCGUAACUGACGCUGAGGAGCGAAAGCAUGGGGAGCGAACAGG
rnacentral:rRNA from 1 species